UCUUUUUUGCUUAUGAUAAUAAGUUGAUUCUGCCCAAUGAAAAUUUAAUGGCUGCAGUAUUUUGACUGUACUAAGGUAGCAUAAUAAUUAGGUUCUUAAAUGGUAUCUGGAAUGAAGGAUUUGACGAGGUGAGUUCUGUCUCAAGAUUUAAAUUUUGAAUUUUAUUUUUAAGUUAAAAAGCUUAAAUUAAAAAUAAAGACGAGAAGACCCUAUAGAGUUUAACUGUUUAAAUGUGAAAGUUUUAUUAGGUCUAUUAAGCUUAAUGUUAAGGAGUUUAGCUGGGGUGGCUGUAAAAUUUUAAAAACUUAUACUUUUAAUAACAUUAAUUUAUGAUUAUUAGAUCCUUUUUGGAUAGCAAGAUUAAAUUACCUUAGGGAUAACAGCGUUAUUUUUCUUUAGAGAUCUAAUCGAAAGAAAAGAUUGCGACCUCGAUGUUGGAUUAAGUUUACUUGUUGGCGCAGGUGCUGAUAUAAGUUAGUCUGUUCGACUAUUAAAAACUUACAUGAUCUGAGUUUAGACCGGCGUGAGCCAGGUUGGUUUCUAUCUUAUGUUAAUAAAUUUAAGGCAGUACGAAAGGGCCCCUUAAGAUAAAUAGUUUGGUGUGUUGAUGAAUACCUAAA
rnacentral:rRNA from 1 species